rnacentral:rRNA from 1 species
GACGAACGCUGGCGGCGUGCUUAACACAUGCAAGUCGAACGGAAAGGCCCUGCUUUUGUGGGGUGCUCGAGUGGCGAACGGGUGAGUAACACGUGAGUAACCUGCCCUUGACUUUGGGAUAACUUCAGGAAACUGGGGCUAAUACCGGAUAGGAGCUCCUGCUGCAUGGUGGGGGUUGGAAAGUUUCGGCGGUUGUGGAUGGACUCGCGGCUUAUCAGCUUGUUGGUGGGGUAGUGGCUUACCAAGGCUUUGACGGGUAGCCGGCCUGAGAGGGUGACCGGCCACAUUGGGACUGAGAUACGGCCCAGACUCCUACGGGAGGCAGAAGUGGGGAAUAUUGCACAAUGGGCGGAAGCCUGAUGCAGCAACGCCGCGUGCGGGAUGACGGCCUUCGGGUUGUAAACCGCUUUCGCCUGUGACGAAGCGUGAGUGACGGUAAUGGGUAAAGAAGCACCGGCUAACUACGUG